CCAUGUAGGAUAUGAGAAGGUGGCAGUCUAUAACCUGGAAGAGGAGGACCCUCACCAGAACCUCACCAUGUCGGCACCCUGAUCUCAGGUUUCCAGCCCCCAGAAGCGUGAGAGGAACACGACUGUAAAGCCAAUGGGUGCAACGGCUAUCCUGCAACUAUGUAGAUGCAAGAAGGAUAAAUGAUCAGUGAUAAAGGACUCAAUUCGAAGGAGAAUGCGUGGAAAUAAGGGCGUGGCUUUAAGGCCGCUGUGUAUAGUCACGUGGGUUGUGUGUUGCACAAUUCUAGGAGGAUCACCAUAAUAGACUGUGACAUGGUUAAGCUGUGGCCCUAGUCCCGCCUCUCGUCUGGCCUCUGAAAGGAAGAAAGUGAAGGGAAUGGCAGCAAGCCCUGAAUUCUGUGAAUUGUGAAUUCUCCCAAAUCUCUCUAGAAACCAAAUUGUUUCCA